rnacentral:rRNA from 3 species
UACGUAUGGAGCAAGCGUUAUCCGGAUUUACUGGGUGUAAAGGGAGUGUAGGUGGCCAUGCAAGUCAGAAGUGAAAAUCCGGGGCUCAACCCCGGAACUGCUUUUGAAACUGUAAGGCUAGAGUGCAGGAGGGGUGAGUGGAAUUCCUAGUGUAGCGGUGAAAUGCGUAGAUAUUAGGAGGAACACCAGUGGCGAAGGCGGCUCACUGGACUGUAACUGACACUGAGGCUCGAAAGCGUGGGGAGCAAACAGG